AACGAACGCUGGCGGCAUGCCUAACACAUGCAAGUCGAACGAGACCUUCGGGUCUAGUGGCGCACGGGUGCGUAACGCGUGGGAAUCUGCCCUUGGGUUCGGAAUAACAGUUAGAAAUGACUGCUAAUACCGGAUGAUGACUUCGGUCCAAAGAUUUAUCGCCCAAGGUGAGCCCGCCUCGGAUUAGCUAGUUGGUGAGGUAAAGGCUCACCAAGGCGACGAUCCGUAGCUGGUCUGAGAGGAUGAUCAGCCACACUGGGACUGAGACACGGCCCAGACUCCUACGGGAGGCAGCAGUGGGGAAUAUUGGACAAUGGGCGAAAGCCUGAUCCAGCAAUGCCGCGUGAGUGAUGAAGGCCCUAGGGUUGUAAAGCUCUUUUACCCGGGAUGAUAAUGACAGUACCGGGAGAAUAAGCCCCGGCUAACUCCGUGCCAGCCGCCGCCGUAAAAC
rnacentral:rRNA from 1 species